GUCCACGCCCAAAGAAAAGCAAAAAUGGUAAUUAAUCCCCUCUGUUCCUGAUUGGUCUUGCCUUUGCAUCUCCACCUUUCGUCGAAGAUUCUCAUAGACCAACUCAUCUAAGACAUCCUCAGCCUCAUAAGCUACUUCUCUGAGCUUCUUCAGCCAAAGCCUGACAUGCUCCUUUCUGGUUUGCUGCUCCUCUGCAUCUUGAAGCACACCACGAAUCAUGGUGAGGGAUUCUUGAAGGCCUUUCAGGUCGUUCUUGAGAUUCCAAGCACGACUGACUUCAUCGGUGAUGAGCGAAGCCACCGUGGACAGAGUUGCAUCUAUCCCGAAACUGAGGAUCAUUUCAGCCAUGGUCUCCUUCUAGCAAAGAUGAAAGAAAUGAGUUGAAGCAAAAGUUGAAAGCAUACGAUGAUUGCAGGAAUAUUUAUGUGUGAAAUCAAAGUCUUUGAGUAAAUUAUAAAGAAAAAAGAUUCGCGAUUGAUGGUUUUAAAUUAUUGGAGACAUAAAGUAAAUGGUUAAUGUGAAGGUGCCAAACUUGUAUAAAAAAUUCAAUUUUAAUUCCACGUAGCUUGAACUUUAUGCCAAAUGACAAAACAACAGUGAUGAUGACAUACAUGCCCAUCGAAAAGAGAAAGCGUAUGAUAUUUUACCAAGACUUUUAUGAAUGUGGAAGCUUUGUUGAUUCCAAUGGCUAUCCCCACACCUCGUAGAAAAGUUGCAUGAAAAAUUAUGAACUUAUUUACAAACUUUUUUUUUUUAAUUUUA
rnacentral:misc_RNA from 1 species